rnacentral:rRNA from 1 species
CCUACGGGUGGCAGCAGUGGGGAAUCUUGCGCAAUGGGCGAAAGCCUGACGCAGCAACGCCGCGUGGGGGAUGAAGGCCUUCGGGUCGUAAACCCCUUUCAGCAGGAACGAAAUUGACGGUACCUGCAGAAGAAGCCCCGGCCAACUACGUGCCAGCAGCCGCGGUAAUACGUAGGGGGCGAGCGUUGUCCGGAUUCAUUGGGCGUAAAGAGCUCGUAGGCGGCCUGAUAAGUCGGGUGUGAAAUCUCCAGGCUCAACCUGGAGAGGUCAUUCGAUACUGUCAUGGCUAGAGUCCGGUAGGGGACCACGGAAUUCCUGGUGUAGCGGUGAAAUGCGCAGAUAUCAGGAGGAACACCGGUGGCGAAGGCGGUGGUCUGGGCCGGUACUGACGCUGAGGAGCGAAAGCGUGGGUAGCAAACAGGAUUAGAUACCCCAGUAGU